rnacentral:tRNA from 1 species
GUCCCCGUAGCUCAGCUGGAUAGAGCGUCUGCCUCCGGAGCAGAAGGCCGAAGGUUCGAACCCUUUCGGGGACGCCA